rnacentral:rRNA from 1 species
GAGUUUGAUCAUGGCUCAGAUUGAACGCUGGCGGCAUGCCUUACACAUGCAAGUCGAACGGCAGCACGGGAGCUUGCUCCUGGUGGCGAGUGGCGAACGGGUGAGUAAUGCAUCGGAACGUAUCCUGGAGUGGGGGAUAACGUAGCGAAAGUUACGCUAAUACCGCAUAUUCUGUGAGCAGGAAAGCGGGGGACCUUCGGGCCUCGCGCUCUUGGAGCGGCCGAUGUCGGAUUAGCUAGUUGGUGAGGUAAAGGCUCACCAAGGCGACGAUCCGUAGCAGGUCUGAGAGGAUGAUCUGCCACACUGGAACUGAGACACGGUCCAGACUCCUACGGGAGGCAGCAGUGGGAAUUUUGGACAAUGGGGCAACCCUGAUCCAGCCAUGCCGCGUGAGUG